CAUGUGGCCGGGACACACCACUCUUCAGUGUGACUAACAGGGAACAAAGUUCCAUAAUUAAGCUAAAAAGAACAUUGGGCAGGAAAAAACAUGGCGCAAAUUUUCUUUAAAUACAACUCGGAGAAGUUUCUUGAGGAGACGUGUUUUACGUGGACUCUGGAGGAGGAGGGAAGUAGGAAUGGAGAAGGAGGGAAGACCGAGCGGGUGCAGUUAGUCAUUCAUUCAUCACAGAAGCAGUUGCUGAGAACCUGUGUCACCCUCGCUAAUACAGGCAGCUGUAUUAGAGACUGCUAAAAGCAAACAUUUCCCACAUGGAACUCUUAGACCCCUUCCUAACCCCCUUCCCCCUGAAUCCUCCAUCUAAUUAAACGAGUGCACUCUUCACCCAAUCACUUAGUCCACAAUGUAGGCAUCUUCCUUGAUUCCUCUUCUCUGAUGUCCCUUCUACAAUCCAUUGAACAGUAGGUGCUGCCACCGCCAUGUUAGAAUUACAUUAUGGGCUAGAUCAGUCCUUACCAAACCUACGGCUACACACGGAGCCAACCCCAGUCGUUUCUCCCCUAGAUCACCACCAAGGCCUCUCCCCAUGGCCCUGCCUCUGGGCUGCCACACUGUCCGGCGCCCUGCACAGGCCGAUCCACGCAGAGCAGCCAGAGGGAUCCUUUUAGCAAGGAAAUCAGAGCAGGUCACUCCCCUGCUCAAAACACACCAGUGACUUCCCUCCAGGUGUUGAAUAAAAGGGAAAACCCUCAGCAGGGCCCCGAGGUGCGUCCCUGCUCACUACAGACUCCCCGCCCUCAGCAUGGCCAGCUCUCCUGCCUCCAGGGUGGACACUGGCUGUUAACUCUUCUCAGAAAGCACAUCCCAGGAGCCUGGAAAGGCCAGACACUUCCCAUCACGUGGGUUUGGGUUCAAGUACAACCUCCCAGACCGUCCUACCGACAAUAGCCUCAUCCCACCGUCUAGACAUGGACCCCACAGCAUUUUCUUCUUCUUAGAAAUUAUGUUUGCUCUCUUGUUUAACACCUGGAACUUUCAAAAGAAAAUAAUUUCCCUGUGA